rnacentral:rRNA from 1 species
GGCCAGCAGUAGGGAAUCUUCCGCAAUGGACGAAAGUCUGACGGAGCAACGCCGCGUGAGUGAUGAAGGUUUUCGGAUCGUAAAGCUCUGUUGUUAGGGAAGAACAAGUACCGUUCGAAUAGGGCGGUACCUUGACGGUACCUAACCAGAAAGCCACGGCUAACUACGUGCCAGCAGCCGCGGUAAUACGUAGGUGGCAAGCGUUGUCCGGAAUUAUUGGGCGUAAAGGGCUCGCAGGCGGUUUCUUAAGUCUGAUGUGAAAGCCCCCGGCUCAACCGGGGAGGGUCAUUGGAAACUGGGGAACUUGAGUGCAGAAGAGGAGAGUGGAAUUCCACGUGUAGCGGUGAAAUGCGUAGAGAUGUGGAGGAACACCAGUGGCGAAGGCGACUCUCUGGUCUGUAACUGACGCUGAGGAGCGAAAGCGUGGGGAGCGAACAGGAUUAGAUACCCUGGUAGUCCACGCCGUAAACGAUGAGUGCUAAGUGUUAGGGGUUCCGCCCCU